rnacentral:rRNA from 1 species
CGUCGUAAGCACACUCUAAAAGUAAUAAGUAUGCAACUAUGAUACUACUCAUUUACGUCAGGUCAAAGUGCAGCUCAUGUGAGGGUGAUGAUGGGUUACACCCUAAAUACAGACACAGACUACGGUGUUAAGAACCUUAUGAAGGUGGACUUGGAUGUAAUAAGUAACUCAGAGUCGCCAUGAAAACGAAUCUAAGACAUGCACACAUCGCCCGUCACUCUCGCCUAAAGGCGAGAUAAGUCGUAACAAAGUAGGUGUAACGGAAGUUGCUCCUGU